rnacentral:ncRNA from 1 species
GUGUUGUACGAAAGGAGAGAAGGUUAGCACUCCCCUUGAUAAGGACGGACAACACACAUAUGUCAAGGCACAGUCGCUCUGGCGGCACCUGACAAAUUUUUUGG